rnacentral:ncRNA from 2 species
CGCGCUCCUUAGGGGAGGCUGCGAAGCCUGAGACUAGUACUUAUGUGCUUAUACCCUUCGAACCUGAUCCGGUUAGUACCGGCGUAGGAAUAGGAUAAAAACUAUAG